rnacentral:rRNA from 1 species
GAGUUUGAUCUUGGCUCAGAUUGAACGCUGGCGGCAUGCCUUACACAUGCAAGUCGAACGGCAGCACGGGAGCUUGCUCCUGGUGGCGAGUGGCGAACGGGUGAGUAAUGCAUCGGAACGUAUCCUGGAGUGGGGAUAACGUAGCGAAAGUUACGCUAAUACCGCAUAUUCUGUGAGCAGGAAAGCGGGGGACCUUCGGGCCUCGCGCUCUUGGAGCGGCCGAUGUCGGAUUAGCUAGUUGGUGAGUAAGGCUCACCAAGCGACGAUCCGUAGCAGGUCUGAGAGGAUGAUCUGCCACACUGGAACUGAGACACGGUCCAGACUCCUACGGGAGGCAGCGAGUGGGGAAUUUUGGACAAUGGGGCAA